ensembl:lncRNA LNCRI lncRNA radiation induced regulator of PLK1 and RAD51
GAUAACCAGCAAAACGGCAAAGGGAGGCAGGAAAACCACCCGCAGGGAGGCCAGUGUGGGUUUAAGGUGAUGGCAUUCCCCAGCCCUGCCCGGCACCGGCCUCCCAAGCCUGGGACCUGGGGGCUCCCUGCCUCCUUCCAGAUGGAGGAAGUGAGACCAGGACCACAGACUGGGCGCUCCCUGCUGAGUCUGUGGCCCUGAAGGCUGUUCAGCUCUAAGCGUCGGUGCACGGACAGGCCAGACAGGGCUGUAUUGCUCCAAUCGCCCUGCAAGAAUCACAGCCAGACGGGGGCUUCCCGAGUGCUGCCCACCUUGCCGGCACGCAGGAGGAGGUGGCAUGGACUGGGGAGGAGGAAGCACUCUCACUCCUGCUGGAGCCUCUGCCCAGGAACCCCGAUUGGCCCAGCCGUCCCUGGGGAGGCCCAUCCCACGUGUCCCGCACCCCGUGUCUGUCAGCACUGAUCAGGGUCUCCCAGACACCUGCUCUGGGGUUGCCAUGGGGACGAGCGGGAGGGUGAGUGUGGCGCACACAGCUGUCUGUAGACACACAGAGGGCAUGCACGCAUGUGUCUGUGCUCACCUGCAUGUGUUCACACGGACUGGGCACCGCCGGAGGUGUUCACACAGCGGUGUACACCGACCCCUCUGCAGAUGUGCACACACCCAGCAAGGCUACGUCCACAGGCGUGUAUGUGUUCUUGCACCAGGAAGUGGGUCACGCCCCACACCACACAUCGUAUACUCUGUCCCUGCGGCACGCACCUGUCUGGGUGCACCAGGCAGUCUAAGCCCAUGUCACCUAUGUGUACACAUAUGUGCACAUACCUACUCAGGCACACCAGUGUGUGUACACGGCUGUCCAGGCACACUGGGCAGUCCAAGCCCACGCCUGCCCAGACUCUUGGAAUCGGGCACUUUCUGAGGCUGCCCCGAUGGGCGUUCCUUUCCCCAGCCAGUACAUCCUCUCUUCCUAACCCCACGUCUGCUGGACUCUUAAGGUGUCCACGCGGCCAUGAACAUCUCCAGGGCCUGCACUGCCCACUACCAGGACCCCAGCGGAACCCAGCAUCUGGUCACUAGGGGUCUGCAUGGGCAGUCACUUCCUGGGGGCCUGCACCCCUUAAGGAGGGUGAAGGACGGGCCAGCCCAGCUGGGGCUGAAUCCUCACAGCCUUGUUCACAGGGAGAGGCUGACCUGCGCCCAUUUUACAGACAACAAAACUGAGGCUGAGAGAGUAACAGCCCGGCCAGCACAUGGCAGAGCGUGGCGCAGGCCCAGGCCUGCCUUGUGAGGUCCCUGCCGUUCCCUGCAGGGUACAUAGAGGCGGAAGCUGAUGUGGCCCCCACUGGGCGUUCUUUCACUUUCUCUCCUUUGAUUCCACAGUCCUCAGACCUAGGAAUUAAAGAAACGUCCGUAGUUUCCG